rnacentral:rRNA from 1 species
CCUACGGGAGGCUGCAGUGGGGAAUAUUGGGCAAUGGGCGCAAGCCUGACCCAGCAACGCCGCGUGAAGGAAGAAGGCUUUCGGGUUGUAAACUUCUUUUCUGAGGGACGAAGAAAGUGACGGUACCUCAGGAAUAAGCCACGGCUAACUACGUGCAAGCAGCCGCGGUAAUACGUAGGUGGCAAGCGUUAUCAGGAGUUAUUGGGUGUAAAGGGCGUGUAGGCGGGAAAGCAAGUCAGAUGUGAAAACUCAGGGCUCAACCCUGGAACUGCGUUUGAAACUGUUCUUCUUGAGUGAUGGAGAGGCAGGCGGAAUUCCGUGUGUAGCGGUGAAAUGCGUAGAUAUACGGAGGAACACCAGUGGCGAAGGCGGCCUGCUGGACAUUAACUGACGCUGAGGCGCGAAAGCGUGGGGAGCAAACAGGAUUAGAUACCCCUGUAGUC